CCGGUACAAUGCGAAGCGAAGCAGUGAUGUGAAGCAAAUCGCACCAAAGCCGGUCCCAGUUCGGAUAAGAGGCUGAAACUCGCCUCUUUGAAGUCGGAAUCGCUAGUAAUCGCAGAUCAGCAUGUUGCGGUGAAUACGUUCCCGGGUCUUGUACACACCGCCCGUCAAACCAUGAGAGUCACCAACACCCGAAGUCCGCUUUGGCGGCCUAAGGUGGGGGAGAUGAUUGGGGUUAAGUCGUAACAAGGUAGC
rnacentral:rRNA from 1 species